rnacentral:snRNA from 1 species
GAAUACGAACCGUGAAAGCGUG